UAUAUCACGUGUACUUUUAGCGCGCAUUUGAUAUUGACAGUAUCCACGAGAAAGUCGUUUGCUUGUUCUGAAUGUGCACGUAAAACCCUAUGACCUGACCUGAGAAAGUCGUGCUCACAUUUGCAAUGCGUCUUUGAAGUGUUCGGCUAAGUGGCCACUGCUCACACAUUAUUGUGCUCUUAAAAACCUUACAAGGAUUCAAGCUGCACAAUUUAACAUAAGUCCCAGAACAGCAGAGUUGUACGAGCAUUCCAAGACAGGAUGAAAAUAAAGCCAAUACCAAUGAGCCAUGUUGUGGUGGAAAGACCCACAGCAGAAGUCAGAAAACGAAAGCCUGUAUUGUGUCAGUUGGACACACAGAAGAAAUUCGACAAGGAUAACCCAAGGAGCUUUUUUCGCAUCCCAAAGAAACCAGAACCCCGAAGAAAGCUUUGGAUUACAGCCAUAAAGCGCGUGUCUAUCGUCGGAUGUCAACAAUGGGAACCUACAGACUACGAUCGCGUUUGUUAUCGUCACUAAAUAACAGGAAAGAAGAGCAAUGACAAGAAUAACCCUGACUACAUUCCCUCUGUGAACUUGGGCUACAAGGACACUAAACCAAGUGGGGAUCUGUGACAUGCUAGACACUGUUGAUUAGAGGGCAGAGAAUCCGAAAAAGGCAAGAAACAAGCAGCUUAUGCAUUACUGGAUUUGUCAAACACAGAAAAUAUAUUUGAGACACAAGCUGAAGAAUUGCAGCCACAUGUCGACAUACACAGUGGCUGUAUUAAAAAAAUUGCUGCCCUGCGAAUAGAAAACCAGCAGCUAUAUGAAGAGAAUGCGAUUUUAAAACAGAAUGAAAGUUGAGGAGCAGGUGACAUCCAGUGAUCAAAGAAUUGUUUUAUACAGGUCUACAGUCAAAAGCUCUAUUUGUAUGGCUGCUGUCAUUUUGCUUAUUUUGCUUCCCGGCACUUCCAGCGUGCAAAGUUCUAAGCCCAACAUGUGUAAUGAUGUGUAUAAUAAUGAAACUUAGGUUGAAUCUCCAGCACCAGGACUUGGCGUAUAGGUUCAGUGUGUCUGUGACCACAAUAUCCGACAUUCUUAACCAGGGAUUGCCAAAAUUAGCAGAAAAACUUUCAUUUCUGAUUCAGUGGCCUGAUAAAGACAGUCUUGAUAAGAAACAUGCCUAAUGUUAUUAAAAUAACCUACCCAAAAUGUGUGAGCAUCAUUGAUUGUUUUGAAGUUUUUAUUCAGAGACCCGGUCAACUUACAGCUAGGGCUCAAACAUGGUCAAAUUAUAAACAUAACAACACCAUUAAAUUUCUUGUGUCUAUAACGGGGGCAAUUUCUUAUGUAUCACAGGCUUUUGUGGGUAGGACAUCGGAUAAAGUUAUUACUCAGAGAAGUGGUUAUUUGGAUAAAUUGUAAUAUGGGGAUCAAGUUUUAGCAGACAGAGGAUUUCUGAUAGCAGAAGAUUUAGCAAACCGUAAUGCAACACUAGUAAUACCAGCCUUCACUAGGGGAAAGUCACAACUUAGUGCCAGAGAGGUUGAGCAGACCAGAAAAAUAGCAAAUGUGCGGAUACAUGUGGAACGAGCCAUUGAAAGACUGAAAAACUAAUAUUUUGAGUAGCAGCAUUAGUUUACACAUGGUUCCACAUGCAGACAGCAUAGUCACAAUCUGUUCAGCAUUAUGUAAUUUACAACCAUAACCUUUUCUUAGGUUUUUACCUGUAUUAUGCUUUCAAAUGGUACACAUUGUAAUUCUUCUUUUUAGUUGCAUGAAAUGGGACUAAAUAAAUGUAACUUAAACAGAAAAAGAAUAUAUUGCAUUUUUUAAAAUAUAAAUUAAAUAAAUAGUUUGGCAUAUUUCAUUUGCUAUUGUUAUGAUUUAGUCACAGCUGGCACAAAACCAUUUUCCCCUGGGCUUUCUGUGAAUGUUCACACACUUGUAGUGGAACCACUGGUAGGGACAGUCGUCAUUGUCACAUUUAAUCAUCCUACCAUAUUCCAGUUCGGAACAGAUACACCAUGUCUGAUCACCAUUGUCAACUUGCUUAAUGCUUGAUGUAGAUACAGUCUGGUUUUCAAGUUCGCAAGUAACCAAUUCAUUUAUUAUGAAAUUCUUUACAAAUUGCUCACAUUUUGUAAUCAUGCUUUGACAGAAGUCUACAUCAAUGGAUAAUCUUACGAUGACCAUACUUGGAGCCGGUUUACACUUAAGGAAAAC